AUUGAACGCUGGCGGCAGGCCUAACACAUGCAAGUCGAGCGGAUGAAGGGAGCUUGCUCCUGGAUUCAGCGGCGGACGGGUGAGUAAUGCCUAGGAAUCUGCCUGGUAGUGGGGGAUAACGUCCGGAAACGGGCGCUAAUACCGCAUCCGUCCUGAGGGAGAAAGUGGGGGAUCUUCGGACCUCACGCUAUCAGCUGAGCCUAGGUCGGAUUAGCUAGUUGGUGGGGUAAAGGCCUACCAAGGCGACGAUCCGUAACUGGUCUGAGAGGAUGAUCAGUCACACUGGAUCUGAGACACGGUCCCGACUCCUACGGGAGGCAGCAGUGGGGAAUAUUGGACAAUGGGCGAAAGCCUGCUCCAGCCAUGCCGCGUGUGUGAAGAAGGUCUUCGGAUUGUAAAGCACUUUAAGUUGGGAGGAAGGGAAGUAAGUUAAUACCUUGCUGUUUUGACGUUACCAACAGAAUAAGCACCGGCUAACUUCGUG
rnacentral:rRNA from 1 species